rnacentral:rRNA from 1 species
AAAGGGAGCGUAGGCGGAUAGUUUAGUCAGAGGUGAAAGCCCAGGGCUCAACCUUGGAAUUGCCUUUGAUACUGGCUAUCUUGAGUACGGAAGAGGUAUGUGGAACUCCGAGUGUAGAGGUGAAAUUCGUAGAUAUUCGGAAGAACACCAGUGGCGAAGGCGACAUACUGGUCCGUUACUGACGCUGAGGCUCGAAAGCGUGGGGAGCAAACAGGAUUAGAUACCCCAGU